rnacentral:rRNA from 1 species
GUGGGGAAUUUUGGACAAUGGGCGCAAGCCUGAUCCAGCAAUGCCGCGUGCAGGAAGAAGGCCUUCGGGUUGUAAACUGCUUUUGUACGGAACGAAACGGUCCUGGUUAAUACCUGGGGCUAAUGACGGUACCGUAAGAAUAAGCACCGGCUAACUACGUGCCAGCAGCCGCGGUAAUACGUAGGGUGCGAGCGUUCAUCGGAAUUACUGGGCGUAAAGCGUGCGCAGGCGGUUGUGUAAGACAGGCGUGAAAGCGCCGGGCUCAACCUGGGAAUUGCGCUUGUGACUGCAAGGCUGGAGUGCGGCAGAGGGGGAUGGAAUUCCGCGUGUAGCAGUGAAAUGCGUAGAUAUGCGGAGGAACACCGAUGGCGAAGGCAAUCCCCUGGGCCUGCACUGACGCUCAUGCACGAAAGCGUGGGGAGCAAACAGGAUUAGAAACCCCUGUAGUCC